CCAGGGGUCCUGAGGGGGGACCCUGGGGUGGGCUCUGUAGCCUGCUGGGUCUCUCCUUCUGGUGGAUCUAGGGACCAUUCUUGGUACACAUCAACUGGUGGGAUUGAAAAGGGAGCAGAGACACUAAGGGGAUGACUGGGAUCUCCCUUCCCUGAAGUUUGAGGGGACAAGACACCCAGCCAGCAGGCAGCACUCAGAGGAAAGUUGCUCAGCUGGCCAGGCAGGUCUGUCUCAGCAGUAACAGGACACAGGAGGACGCAGCAGCAGUUAACCCCUUCCUGCUGGCUGGUCAGACGGUGCCUAGGGGGCGGGAAGCCUGCCUGCUGGCUGUACCCAGGAGAUGUUCACUUAGAGCCAGUGCUGUGGCCCCCUUCCACUCCACGGUCCUGGGUCAGGGAGAUUGCAUGGAGAUUGACCUGCAAAAUGGCACCUCCCAGCAGUGUGGGAUGGGUUCCAAACUGCCAAGACUCCCUGAAGAUCCCAGCAUUCAAAGACUUGAAGAAGAAGGUGGGGACCAAGGAGCUGAGCGCAUUGUAAGAAUGAGAUUAUUUAGGGGUCUACUACAGUGAUGCAAUAGUUGAGGGCAAGAGUGACUCCCAGGACUGGAGAAAAGUGAAGCGAGCUGAGCCAGUUUCUCCCAUGUGACAUGCCAAUGCUCAGUACUGAGCUCACAGAAGACUUCAGAAGAGGAUUCUUCUCCAAAGACAACACAGGUUCUGCCUUCCUUUCACAGAGGUGGGCUAACAGUUUCAAAAGUCUGUUAAUUUCUCUGACUGCGUUCCUGUCUGCUGCCCACUGGUUCAGAAUAGUUUGAUGUCCACCCUAAGAAAAUAAAUCAAAAUAAAAACUA